UUUCAGUUUAAAAUGAGGGGAUUAUUCAAGCUUUGGCUGACUCUGGUUGUUUAUGAGAAUCCCAAAUCUCUUCUGUACAUCACCUCCACUUACAGAAAGGUAUGAGAGGAACAAGAAAACCAAGGUGUAUCUGGGAGGAAAUCAGCCAUUGCUUAUAAAACAUACAUCUGGAAAGAAGCUUCCCCUCUUUCCAAGUUCCAAGGAUUCUACAAGUCUAUGAGUCUAUGAUUAUGGUGCUGUUAUAUUAAUGCCACAGAGCAAAAGAAAACUGAAACCAAGA
rnacentral:lncRNA from 1 species